CCCUUAGAUGUCCUGGGCCGCACGCGCGCUACACUGAACGGAUCAGCGCGUUUUCCCUUCCCGAGAGGGACGGGUAACCUGCUGAACCCCGUUCGUGGUAGGGAUCGGGGCUUGCAAUUAUUCCCCGUGAACCAGGAAUGCCCAGUAAGUGCAAGUCAUAAGCUUGCGUUGAUUACGUCCCUGCCCUUUGUACACACCGCCCGUCGCUCCUACCGAUUUCGAGUGGUUCGGUGAACCUUUCGGACCGGCAAUGCCUCGUGUUGCGCCGGAAAGUCAAGUAAACCAUAUCACUUAGAGGAAGGAGAAGUCGUAACA
rnacentral:rRNA from 1 species